CUUGGUUGUGGAAAUAACCAGGGCUGCAGGGUGCCCCAGAGAGAACCAUCAAAUCAGCACGUGCAAGCACAAAGUCCAUUCCGGGUCUUGCUAGGAAACACCCAGAGUUUACACAGGUCAAGUUAAAAUACCCUCACACAUAGAAAAAGAUGUCGGUUCCAGCAGUGGUAAGAUGUCUACACAGUUGCUAUAUUACGUAUUUACUAAGAGAAACAGAUUUACUGCUCUUCAAGAAUUGCACAAUCCGCUCAUCCUUUGGCUGUGAUCAACCUGCACCCAAUCUCAAACUCCAGUUUUCAUCAAACUCCAGAUCUCAUCACUUCCAGUGAUAAAUAAGUGUUUUUUUUCAACCUUAUAAAAUACUCUGCAUGUUUGGAUCUACUUGAGCUAAGGGCUUUACUGUGUGUGGAGUUACUGGACCUCCAUAUUCCAGGAAAAUAGCAUACUUCAGUCCUCAGGGAUAGUGGGCACAGGCCAGGCUGCAGCAUUCUCACAAGAACCAAGGUGGUUUUUGGACACUGCAUGUGUAAGAUGGAGAGGUUGUGAUGAGAGGAAUGAGUAACAAUGUCACAUCAGGGAAAAAGAAUCAAACAUUCAAUUAAAAGGAAACUGCUGGUGGAAAAACUGAGGUUCUGUUAGCCAACAUACAGAGUUUGGAUGCUAAGAAAAAUUAGAAUUCCACAACCAUUGGACAUAUGACCUCAAAAAGGAGAAGGAAAAGAACCUGAGAGAUGGAUGUGGGCAACAAGCUUGUUAAGAAGGAUUACGCAGAAAGUCAGGAGAUGUACGUGGAGGGAAGUCAUGAGUACUUCAUGAACCCGAGGACCGGCUGGAAAAGCAAAAAAAGCUCAGUGACCUUGCCUGAGAAGAAGCAGAUGAUGUUUAGAAGAAAGAAAAGAAAGAGAAGGGUAGAUAUUUUCCAUAGGUCUGUU
rnacentral:lncRNA from 1 species